GACUCUCGGCAACGGAUAUCUCGGCUCUCGCAUAGCGAAAUGCGAUACUUGGUGUGAAUUGCAGAAUCCCGUGAACCUUCGAGUCUUUGAACGCAAGUUGAGCCCGAAGCCACUAGGCCGAGGGCACGUCUGCCUGGGCGUCA
rnacentral:rRNA from 1 species